rnacentral:rRNA from 1 species
AUCCAGACUCCUACGGGAGGCAGCAGUGGGGAAUAUUGCACAAUGGGGGAAACCCUGAUGCAGCGACGCCGCGUGAGUGAAGAAGUAUUUCGGUAUGUAAAGCUCUAUCAGCAGGAAAGAAAAUGACGGUACCUGACCAAGAAGCCCCGGCUAACUACGUGCCAGCAGCCGCGGUAAUACGUAGGGGGCAAGCGUUAUCCGGAUUUACUGGGUGUAAAGGGAGCGUAGACGGUGAAGCAAGUCUGAAGUGAAAGGCGGGGGCUCAACCCCCGGACUGCUUUGGAAACUGUUUGACUGGAGUGCAGGAGAGGUAAGUGGAAUUCCUAGUGUAGCGGUGAAAUGCGUAGAUAUUAGGAGGAACACCAGUGGCGAAGGCGGCCUGCUGGGCUCUAACUGACGCUGAGGCUCGAAAGCGUGGGUAGCAAACAGGAUUAGAUACCCGUGUA